rnacentral:rRNA from 1 species
GAUGAACGCUAGCGGCAGGCCUAAUACAUGCAAGUCGAACGAGAUUAAGAGGCUUGCUUCUUAUGAAAGUGGCGCACGGGUGCGUAACGCGUAUGCAACCUACCUUAAUCAGGGGGAUAGCCCGAAGAAAUUCGGAUUAAGACCGCAUAAAAACACAGGAUAGCAUUAUCCAAUGUUCAAAUAUUUAUAGGAUUAAGAUGGGCAUGCGUGUCAUUAGCUAGUUGGCGGGGUAACGGCCCACCAAGGCGACGAUGACUAGGGGAUCUGAGAGGAUGACCCCCCACACUGGUACUGAGACACGGACCAGACUCCUACGGGAGGCAGCAGUAAGGAAUAUUGGUCACUGGAGGGAACUCUGAACCAGCCAUGCCGCGUGCAGGAAGACAGCCCUCUGGGUCGUAAACUGCUUUUAUUCGGGAAUAAACCUUUCUACGUGUAGGAAGCUGAAUGUACCGAAGGAAUAAGGAUCGGCUAACUCCGUG